rnacentral:rRNA from 1 species
GGGGGGGGGGGGGGGGGGGGGGGGGAGGGGCAGGGGGAGGGGUAGGGGCGGGCGGGGGGCGCGGGCGGGGGGGGGGGGGGGAACACGGGGGUGGUCUGCCCUGCACUUCGGGAUAAGCCUGGGAAACUGGGUCGAAUACCGGGUCUGACCUCCUAGCGCAUGGGGGUGGGUGGGCAGAUUGCUCGGUGCGGGGUGGGCCGGCGGCCUAACAGCUUGUUGGUGUGGUCCUGGCCGACCAAGGCGACGACGGGUAGCCGACCUGAGAGGGUGACCGGCCACACUGGGACUGAGACACGGCCCAGACUCCUACGGGAGGCAGCAGUGGGGAAUAUUGCACAAUGGGCGAAAGCCUGAUGCAGCGACGCCGCGUGAGGGAUGACGGCCUUCGGGUUGUAAACCUCUUUCAGCAGGGACGAAGCGCAAGUGACGGUACCUGCAGAAGAAGCACCGGCUAACUACGUG